UGUCCUGUUAUUGAACACUGUUCUAUGGUUAGUUUUGCAGGUUUGCAUCCAGCUGUGUGAUAUUCUGCUGUGCAAAUCCAUGCAAAACUGACUGUGGUGGUGAAAAGUCUGUAGAAAAAGU
rnacentral:pre_miRNA from 13 species